rnacentral:lncRNA from 10 species
GACAGGGUCUCACUCUGUCACCCAGGCUGGAGUACAGUGGCUCGACCUCAGCUCACUACAACCUCUGCCUCCUGGGCUCAAUCAAUCUUCCCACAUCAGCCUCGUAGAAAUAGUAUUACGGUCACAUGAUUCAAAAUUCAAUAUAUAAAAGGAUGUAAAGUGAAAAUUCUUUCUCCCAUCCUCGUCAUUCCCAAGCUACUCAAAAAGCUCCAGAGAGAGACAAGGAGAUGAGGAGACAAGCAGACGAACAGCGGAACAAUGCAGCAGAGAAAGAGAGAAGAGAAGGAACGUCUGAACGUCGAGAGGAGUUCGGCUGCUGGACGGCCAAACUCCAGGGGAAGAUCAUCUUCCCACUCCAUUCCCCCUCCAGCUCCCCAUCCAUCCCACUGAGAGCCACUUCCACCACUCAAUAAAAGCCCCACAUUUAUCCUUCAAGUCCAUGUGUGAUCCAAUUCUUCUGGGAUGCUAAACAAGAACCUGGGAUACAGAAAGCUGUCACACUGGCCCUCUGCCCUUGCAGAAAGGCAGAGGGGCCCUGAGCUGGUUGAUACUUAAGCUGUCUGUGGAUGGCAGAACUAAAAGAGCAUUGG